AACGAACGCUGGCGGCAGGCCUAACACAUGCAAGUCGAACGCAUCGCAAGAUGAGUGGCGCACGGGUGAGUAACACGUGGGAAUGUGCCCUUUGGUUCGGAAUAACGUCUGGAAACGGACGCUAAUACCGGAUGUCCCCUGCGGGGGAAAGAUUUAUCGCCAAAGGAGCAGCCCGCGUCUGAUUAGGUAGUUGGUGGGGUAAAGGCCUACCAAGCCGACGAUCAGUAGCUGGUCUGAGAGGAUGAUCAGCCACACUGGGACUGAGACACGGCCCAGACUCCGACGGGAGGCAGCAGCGGGGAAUAUUGGACAAUGGGCGCAAGCCUGAUCCAGCCAUGCCGCGUGAGUGAUGAAGGCCUUCGGGUUGUAAAGCUCUUUCGCACACGACGAUGAUGACGGUAGUGUGAGAAGAAGCCCCGGCUAACUUCGUGCCAGCAGCCGCGGUAAUAC
rnacentral:rRNA from 1 species